AGCAGAGAUGGGCGCGGUAACCCUGCAUUCAGCUCUGGGAAACCCCACGUUAACAGCAGCGUCACAACGCACGGCGAAGGGUCGGCGACCACUUCGACAGAUCAGCAAAUACUGCCAUCUUCGAUAAGUAAUCCCUGGAGAUUCAUGUCCUGUGGGUGGAGCAUCACUGAAACACAGAGAGGACUUAAUCAUUAUCACCGGUCCUCCAGGCAGCAUGCUCAGAGGAGGAGUUAAUGCUCGUUGGGUUAAGGCGUUACUUGGAGACGUGGAACACUUUGUGGUCCUCCGAGGCAACAAAGUGUGCUUUGGGUUCGGUCCGAUGGGGGACGAAAGCAGCAGCAGCAGCAACAGCCUUGGCAAAACAUCUUGCAUACAUCACGCUGAGCACAGUCCAUGCUGGGUCCGAACAAGAAAGCUGGCCAGAGUUGAUGGGAGAUUGGAUGGAGCAAUCCUGAAUGCUUUACAGCAUUCGGACAAUUAAAAAAACUGGAAUGUAAGUACAAAUAUCUGAAAAGUUAAAGAGAAAAAAAAACAACAUCAAAUUUAAAUGUUAGAAAUACAAUUUUCUGCCUCCAAAUAUAAAUGCUAUUUCUUUUAGUCCCUCAACAAAUUCCUGGCCUUCAUUGCAAAGAUAUAAGCAAAAGACAUAGAGACUUGGUGUCAUUCGUUGCUGCAGUUCUCUUACGGGGGAAAGCAAAGCAUCAUUCCUUCUAACAAACAUCAAAUUACGCCCUUAACACAUAUUGGACGCAUCCUGCUGAAGUGCCAUAAGAAACACAAAUAACAAUUGUACCAUAAAAUGUUCCUUACAUCUUUUAAAACAAUUUGAAAAUAGUUGAUAAGCAUUCCUUCUGUAUUUCCUCAAUUGAACUAGAACUACAUUUCUCACCAGAAUAGGUGAUCUCAUGAAAAAUCAGUCGCCAUGCCAUUAUCUUUUUGGCCAUUUCCUUUACGACGAGAUUGUGAAUCAUAUAUCUCUAGAUAUCUUUCAACCACAACAAGGAAUCUUUACUCGUCCAUUUUGCACAUAUAUACAAUGGUCUUCAAUAAUUGUGGAAUAUGCGGUUUUUGAUUUUCCAAAAUGUAGCAUACACAAUAUCAUGCUACUGUACAUUUAGUUACAUUUGAGGAGGUCCAUCACCACUCACAGAAAAAGCUAAAAAACAUUUUAAAAAGCAGCCUGAAGCUAACACAACUGCUAAUGUUUCAGUAUAGCCUAUAUGUUGCCCACGCUUUUGUAUAAGGUUUUCUCGAAAGUUUCUAUGUAUGCAAGUAGUAUUAAAACUAUUUAUGUUUAAUAUAAAACUUUGGUUUUACAUGCCAUAAUCCUAUAGCCAGAAAUAAACAACAUAACAACAUAAAUCAAUGACUUUUUUAGAAAAAUUGGACUCAAGGCAAAACAUUUUCUUUUUCCUUAAUUAAAGAUUGAAUUACUGCAAGUAAAAAAUAUAAUUGGUGAUAUUUGCACAAAAUUUGUUUUGGCUAUAUCAGAGGUGUUCGUUUGGUACUACACGCUCCCCCUAGUGGUGAAAAUCAGUUCCACAGUUCACUAACAAAACAUUGACAAUUUUUUUUUACAUUAUAGAAUUCACUUUUUUAUUAGGAACUGCGUUAAGGAAAUUGUCAAGAUGUUUUACGCUUUGCUGUCAAUCUUUUGGUUUGUGAACUAUUAUUCUGCUGGGAAAUCAUUUGCAUAUUUCAAGGUGUUCACUCACCACUCAGAUUCUUUC